rnacentral:rRNA from 1 species
UACGUAGGGGGCAAGCGUUAUCCGGAAUUACUGGGUGUAAAGGGAGCGUAGACGGUGAUGCAAGUCUGGAGUGAAAGGCGGGGGCCCAACCCCCGGACUGCUCUGGAAACUGUAUGACUUGAGUGCAGGAGAGGUAAGCGGAAUUCCUAGUGUAGCGGUGAAAUGCGUAGAUAUUAGGAGGAACACCAGUGGCGAAGGCGGCUUACUGGACUGAAAUUGACGCUGAGGCACGAAAGCGUGGGGAGCAAACAGG